rnacentral:piRNA from 1 species
UGCAAAAGCCCUUGCUGGCAACGAAA